AUACGGGGGGUGCAAGCGUUAUUCGGAUUUAUUGGGCGUAAAGGGCGCGUAGGCGGCUUGGUAAGUCAGAUGUGAAAGCCCGGGGCUCAACCCCGGAAGUGCAUUUGAAACUAUCAGGCUUGAGUAUGGGAGAGGGAAGUGGAAUUCCUGGUGUAGAGGUGAAAUUCGUAGACAUCAGGAGGAACACCGGUGGCGAAGGCGACUUCCUGGACCAAUACUGACGCUGAGGCGCGAAGGCGUGGGGAGCAAACAGGAUUAGAAACCCGAGUAGUCC
rnacentral:rRNA from 1 species